rnacentral:rRNA from 1 species
GACGAACGCUGGCGGCGUGCUUAACACAUGCAAGUCGAACGGAAAGGCCCUGCUUUUGUGGGGUGCUCGAGUGGCGAAAGGGUGAGUAACACGUGAGUAACCUGCCCUUGACUUUGGGAUAACUUCAGGAAACUGGGGCUAAUACCGGAUAGGAGCUCCUGCUGCAUGGUGGGGGUUGGAAAGUGUCGGCGGUUGGGGAUGGACUCGCGGUUUAUCAGCUUGUUGGUGAGGUAGUGGCUUACCAAGGCGUUGACGGGUAGCCGGCCUGAGAGGGUGACCGGCCACAUUGGGACUGAGAUACGGCCAGGACGCCUACGGGAGGCAGCAGUGGGGAAUAUUGCACAAUGGGCGGAAGCCUGAUGCAGCAACGCCGCGUGCGGGAUGACGGCCUUCGGGUUGUAAACCGCUUUCGCCUGUGACGAAGCGUGAGUGACGGUAAUGGGUAAAGAAGCACCGGCUAACUACGUG